AUCGUUUCUUGACGUUUUGGCUAAGAUCAAAUGUAGUAUCUGCUCUUAUAAGUUUAAUAUCUGAUAUGUCCUUUACCUGAGGACAAUACAGUAAAUAGACUUUGAAACAGGGAAGUGGAAUAGGAGCUUACUCCAUACAUUCCACUCAUCGACCUGGUAUUGCGGUACUCCCAGGAACAGUGCGCACACA